UACGUAGGGUGCGAGCGUUCAUCGGAAUUACUGGGCGUAAAGGGCGCGUAGGUGGAUAAGUGAGUGAGAUGUGAAAUACCCGAGCUUAACUUGGGGAGGUCAUCUCAUACUGCUUGUCUAGAGUAUGGGAGAGGGAAGUGGAAUUUCUGGUGUAGCGGUGAAAUGCGUAGAUAUCAGAAGGAACACCCGUGGCGAAGGCGACUUCCUGGCCCAAUACUGACACCGAGGCGCGAAAGCGUGGGGAGCAAACAGG
rnacentral:rRNA from 1 species